UACGAAGGCAGCAGUGGGGAAUAUUGCACAAUGGGCGAAAGCCUGAUGCAGCUAUGCCGCGUGUAUGAAGAAGGCCUUAGGGUUGUAAAGUACUUUCAUCGGGGAGGAAAAAACAAAACUAAUAAUUUUAUUUCUUGACGUUACCCGAAAAAGAAGCACCGGCUAACUCCGUGCCAGCAGCCGCGGUAAUACGGAGGGUGCUAGCGUUAAUCAGAAUUACUGGGCGUAAAGAGCACGUAGGUGGUUUUUUUAAGUCAGAUGUGAAAUCCCUGGGCUUAACCUAGGAACUGCAUUUUGAAACUGAAAUACUAGAGUAUCGUAGAGGGAGGUAGAAUUCUAGGUGUAGCGGUGAAAUGCGUAGAUAUCUGGAGGAAUACCUGUGGCGAAAGCGGCCUCCUAAACGAAUACUGACACUGAGGUGCGAAAGCGUUGGGGAGCAAACAGGGAUUUAGAUACC
rnacentral:rRNA from 1 species